UGGGGAAUAUUGCACAAUGGGCGAAAGCCUGAUGCAGCGACGCCGCGUGAGGGAUGACGGCCUUCGGGUUGUAAACCUCUUUCAGCAGGGAAGAAGCGAAAGUGACGGUACCUGCAGAAGAAGCGCCGGCUAACUACGUGCCAGCAGCCGCGGUAAUACGUAGGGCGCAAGCGUUGUCCGGAAUUAUUGGGCGUAAAGAGCUCGUAGGCGGUUAGUCGCGUCUGCUGUGAAAACUCGAGGCUCAACCUCGGGCUUGCAGUGGGUACGGGCUGACUAGAGUGCGGUAGGGGUGACUGGAAUUCCUGGUGUAGCGGUGGAAUGCGCAGAUAUCAGGAGGAACACCGAUGGCGAAGGCAGGUCACUGGGCCGCAACUGACGCUGAGGAGCGAAAGCAUGGGGAGCGAACAGGAUUAGAUACCCUGGUAGUCCAUGCCGUAAACGUUGGGCACUAGGUGUGGGGUCCAUUCCACGGAUUCCGUGCCGCAGCAAACGCAUUAAGUGCCCCGCCUGGGGAGUACGGCCGCAAGGCUAAAACUCAAAUGAAUUGACGGGGUU
rnacentral:rRNA from 1 species